ACGGGUGCGCGUAAUUUAAAAAAAAUAUCAAGCUGUGACCGUGACUUUAGGGACCCCCUCA
rnacentral:tRNA from 1 species